rnacentral:rRNA from 1 species
CAUUCGCCUGGGGACUACGAGCACUAGCUUGAAACCCAAAGGACUUGGCGGUGCUUUAGAUCCACCUAGAGGAGCCUGUUCUGGAACCGAUAACCCCCGUUUAACCUCACCCUCCCUUGCUUAUUCCGCCUAUAUACCGCCGUCGUCAGCUUACCCUGUGAAGGCAGCAUAGUAAGCAAAACCAGUACAACUCAAAACGUCAGGUCGAGGUGUAGCAUACGGGAGGGGAAGAAAUGGGCUACAUUCUCUGGUUAAGAGAAUACGGAUAAUGACAUGAAAAAUCAUUUGAAGGAGGAUUUAGUAGUAAGCAAAAAGCAGAGUGUUUUGCUGAAACCGGCCCUGAAGCGCGCA